ensembl:lncRNA
UCCCUUGUGUGGAAUUUAAAAAGAAAUGAUACAAAUGAACUUACAAAACAGGAACGACUCACAGACUUAGAGAAUGAACUUGUGGUGGCUGGUGGCGGGGCAGCGGGGGCUAAAUGAAUGUUGUCCGACAGCAGGCUCAGAAUGAUCUGGAAAGUACACCUGUAUUUCCAGGACUGAGCAGGACUGUAUUGGUGGGCUGCUCACCUCCAUCCCCGUGGGGUAAGCAGGGCCCUGGCUGGAGUCCCAUGAGCCAGGAGAACAAGCCCCAGCGAAGGUGACAGGACCACUUGGCUCCCAUGUCUGGGUUUGGUGCUUCCUCCCGUGUGGAGGUACCCCCAUGAGUCACUCUGGUCCCCUCACAGAUUCUAGAUGAGUGGGGAGAGGAGCUGGACACACGUAGCUCAGCGCUUCUCGGCAGCCAGGCUGUGCUUCCCCCCCACCCCCACCCCUAAAGACAAAUAUUUGCCCUGCCCCUUCCUCCCACGUUCUUGAAAAGAACUUGCCCCCAGCUGUUCUCAACUGUGCCGAGUUCUGGAAUCCAGUCUUAGGCAACCCUUUGUGGCUGCACAUCUAAGCCACCUUCUCUGGGAAAUAAUAUUUAAACUCCUUGGUUUCCUCAUCUCUCAAACAUGAGUUACAGUAUCCACCUUGCAGAUUUUUUUUUGAGGAUUAAAUUAGGUAAAACAUAGAAAAUCUUGCACAUUUACAGACGCUUAAAUGUCUGUUUCCCCUUGUCCAUUCUUGCUUUUUUUCUCCUCUCUCUCCCACAUCAACAGUUUUUCUCUCCCAGUCCCUGCCUCUGGCCAAGCAGCUCCUGGCCUCCCGGAGCCCGAGUCCUGGGCCUCCCUCAGGGCUUACAGCCGAGCCGUUUCUGAAGAAGCAGUGGUCAGCACCCCUGGGAGUCUCUCUGCAGGAGGGUUGAUCUGGUUUUUCUCUGUCUGCCAAAGAAUGAGGAAGUGGUUUCGGCAGGCAGCCAGGGAGGAGGAGGGUGGCUCCAUGGCCAGACCCGUGGGAGAGAGGCUAUCAGGCCACCAGCACCACCGUUGUGAUGCCUGGAACAGGGGGCCCUACAACAGUACGAGGCGGCUCCUGACACCAUAGCUGACAGAGGCUGCAGCCCGGGGAGGGGGCAGCUGGGCCGCUUGCUCCCCAGUCAGGUCACCCCAGAACACUCUGCAGGGUGACAGCGCUCUCAGAGGCCAGCAGCUGUAACAAGGGGCCCCGACAAGAUGGCAUGAGUGACAGGUGCCAGUGGGGAUGGAGGGGCAGACAAGAACAGGUAAGAAACCACAAAAGCUCAAGACCCGUUUCAUGUCAGAGUGAGCCAUGGUGAGAGCCAUGGAAACAACCACAGCGAGUUUGGGAGCAGGAUCAGGAAAAGGGAAAAUCGAAGGGUCUCACUGAGGCCAUCCCGUUUGUUCACACAGGCUCACGAGUCCCCGGAGAACUCAGGUCACACACAAUUUAUCCAUCCCCCCAGCAGACACUUCCUCAGUGCCUGUGGGAGCUGGGGAUACAUCAGAGAGCAAGAACACCUCGCCAUCACGGUAGACAGACAACCCAGCCUUCUCCGAGAAGCACCUAUCUGCUCCCGAAGCAUUUGAAAUGCUUGAGACAUCAAAUUUCAUUUCUCACGCAGAAAUUAUUGUGUCCACUGUCAUCCUCAGGCAGUCCUUGGGCUGGUGGGAUGGGAUGACCUCGGGCUUGCUCUCUCCUGUCCACCAUCUCCAACCUCACUUUCCACUCCUUCACAUGAAAGUUCCUGAUGGAUGCAAAAGACCUCUGCCUGCUCCAUCUCACGUCUCUCUCUUCACCAGC